rnacentral:rRNA from 1 species
GGCGGUAUGCUUAACACAUGCAAGUCGAACGGAAACGAAACUAGCUUGCUAGUAGGCGUCGAGUGGCGGACGGGUGAGUAACGCGUAGGAAUCUGCCUGAUAGUGGGGGAUAGCCCGAAGAAAUUCGGAUUAAUACCGCAUAAUCUAUUCGUAGUAAAGUGGGGGACUUUCGAGCCUCACGCUAUCAGAUGAGCCUGCGUAAGAUUAGCUUGUUGGUAGGGUAAAAGCCUACCAAGGCAACGAUCUUUAGCUGGUCUGAGAGGAUGAUCAGCCACAUCGGGACUGAGACACGGCCCGAACUCCUACGGGAGGCAGCAGUGGGGAAUAUUGGACAAUGGGGGCAACCCUGAUCCAGCAAUACCGCGUGUGUGAAGAAGGCCUGAGGGUUGUAAAGCACUUUCAAUUGUGAAGAAAAGUUAACGGUUAAUAACCGUUAACCUUGACGUUAACUUUAGAAGAAGCACCGGCUAACUCCGUGCCAGCAGCCGCGGUAAUACGGAGGGUGCAAGCGUUAAUCGGAAUUACUGGGCGUAAAGCGUGCGUAGGCGGUUUAUUAAGUCAGAUGUGAAAGCCCCGGGCUUAACCUGGGAACUGCAUUUGAAACUGGUCAACUAGAGUAUGGUAGAGGAAAGUGGAAUUUCUGGUGUAGCGGUGAAAUGCGUAGAUAUCAGAAGGAACAUCAAUGGCGAAGGCAGCUUUCUGGACCAAUACUGACGCUGAGGUACGAAAGCGUGGGUAGCAAACAGGAUUAGAUACCCUGGUAGUCCACGCCGUAAACGAUGAUAACUAGCCGUUGGGGGGAUUUACCCCUUAGUGGCGAAGCUAACGCGUUAAGUUAUCCGCCUGGGGAGUACGGCCCCGCAAGCUAAACAUACAAAGUA